ACCAGCAGAAGUAACAAUAACAUCUAGCUGAACCACUCUAUCUCAGCAGAAAAUCUGGGAGGGAGAAGAAAUGUCUCCAUGCUUCUCUUCUGGCUUCCUUGGUUAGGUCCAAAGGGUUGGGGGCAAGACACUUGGGAAAAAAGAAUUCCCUCUGACAUUUGGGGGAUUCACUGAGGACAACUCUUCCAUGAUAAUGCUUCACCCCGUUACGAUCUGUUUUGCUAUUAAUUGGCCACACCUAAUAACAAGCCUGCCAGGAACUUCACCAAUUCCCGCUCAGUUUUGCUACGGAACACACGGCAUCCAGCUAGAAAGUUUUUCCACUAUGAACUGUGCUUUCAAGGAAGGUGAUUCACAAAUGAAAGACGGAAAAUAUAAUCCUGAAAAAAUGAGAAAA